rnacentral:lncRNA from 1 species
AUGAAUAGAAAGAGCCUCUUCCUCCUCUCCCUGCAACCAGCUGGGAAGAUGAAUCAAUUCAGUUCAGAAGCUCUGGCUUUGCAGCCUUUCCAUCUGCAUAGCAGAAGGGUUCCACCCCACCGUGCCGUGGGCCUUGGUCUCCAGUCCACAGGUGACAUGGUGAACCUCGGAGAAGAAGAAGAAGAGGAUGGAGUCCCUGUCCUUCUCAGAAGGGUUUGGAGUCCGUUCCUGGCACCUGUAUUAAGAACCACCAGAAAGACACAUGAGAAACUGCAUCGUUUUGGGGGACAGUUUCCAGCCCUUAAAGCCUUCUGGGAGAGACUGCAAAAAAAGCCCCGAAAUGGCAUUCCAAAAUUCCUCAAAAUCCCAAACUCUUCUGCUCCCAAGCAUUUCAGUCAGGCCAAGAGAGGCUGUUGCUGGGUAGGAGGAGGAAGAAUAAAGCCAGUCAAAGCCUUGACGUUUCUUCAUUGCGAGGAUGUUUCAAGCAUUUUCAUCUGUGACACAUUGGAGGUGGCAAGAGAAUACCUAGAAGAUUACGCCGUGAUGCCUCAACCCCAGUGA